rnacentral:sRNA from 1 species
AUAUCUCUCCGUACGGGAAGGAUGAGAAGCUUCGACUAAGGUUCGAUUCGAGCGAAAGAAAGCGUUGCCGCAGGCAACGACCCGAAGGGAAGCGCGCAGCGCUGAGUCAUCCUUCCCCACCACCA